CCUACGGGAGGCAGCAGUGGGGAAUAUUGCACAAUGGGGGAAACCCUGAUGCAGCGACGCCGCGUGAAGGAAGAAGUAUUUCGGUAUGUAAACUUCUAUCAGCAGGGAAGAAAAUGACGGUACCUGAGUAAGAAGCACCGGCUAAAUACGUGCCAGCAGCCGCGGUAAUACGUAUGGUGCAAGCGUUAUCCGGAUUUACUGGGUGUAAAGGGAGCGUAGACGGAUAGGCAAGUCUGGAGUGAAAACCCAGGGCUCAACCCUGGGACUGCUUUGGAAACUGCAGAUCUGGAGUGCCGGAGAGGUAAGCGGAAUUCCUAGUGUAGCGGUGAAAUGCGUAGAUAUUAGGAGGAACACCAGUGGCGAAGGCGGCUUACUGGACGGUGACUGACGUUGAGGCUCGAAAGCGUGGGGAGCAAACAGGAUU
rnacentral:rRNA from 1 species